CCCAACCUUAAUGUGGAUUAGCCGGCAGUGUCGUCAGUCCUGUUGACCCCUCACAAUGGGGGAUUUCAUUGGCGCAAUGAAGUGUCGGUCAUUUGGUCACCCGACGUCGCGUGGCGCAAUUGGCCGGUUAGCAUGUCAGUCAUCCCGCCCCCUAUCUGAGGUGACGGGAAGGGGUUGGGAAAUCCCCAAUCGAUAUUUCAAUGCUGGCGAGAAUGACGCCCAGGGAUAGGUGAGGUUUGGAAUAGCAUUCACUCUCCAGUUGGUUGGGCUUCCGUGGCAAAGGCCCAAAGAACCAGAGAAGGAGGGGUAAGAAGAGGGCAACGCAAUUUCUAGGCGCCGCUCUGAGACAGGCGCGGAAACUAUGGCCGGUCAGAGAAAGUGCGCUCUAUGAUUGGAGGAAGAAAUGCUGUCAGUCAACGAAGGGCCCCGCCCCUCCUGUCGGACUAUGAUUGGAAGAACUGGCUGUCAGUCAGUACAAAUGAGCUCCGCCUCUUGGGCAGGUUGCCCCUUCAAACCUUAAAGUCUUUGGAUCAAUGAAGAUAAAAAGCAGAAAGAACCCUCAAGAGCAGCCCUGUAAUGUGUGGCAUUGGUCACAAGAAUUUGUGACAGAGUCACGGCUCUCUGUGAAGACCAGAAUGAAGAACUGAGAAGAGAAAUAAGUCAAAUACUAGAGGCAGAGAGUACAUUCCCCCAAAUGUCCAUUAUCCACCUCUUGCUCAGCCCCCCUACUGAAGUGACCCAGACCCUGAACACUUUUUAAUUUUAGACGAUAAUAAAAUUUGUAUUCAUU